GAAAAGCCUGACGGAGCAAUCCCGCGUGGAGGAUGACACCUUUCGGGGCGUAAACUCCUUUUCUGAGGGAAGAAGUUCUGACGGUACCUCAGGAAUAAGCGACGGCUAACUACGUGCCAGCAGCCGCGGUAAUACGUAGGUCGCAAGCGUUAUCCGGAAUCAUUGGGCGUAAAGCGUUCGAAGGCGGACAGGAGGGUCUGAUAUUAAAUACAGCGGCUCGACCGAGGUGUGUAUCGGAAACCGCUUGUCUAGAGGGAGACAGAGGCAACUAGAAUUCCCAUUGUAGGGGUAAAAUCCGUAGAUAAUGGGAGGAAUACCGAAAGCGAAGGCAGGUUGCUGGGUCUCUCCUGACGCUGUCGAACGAAAGCGUGGGGAGCG
rnacentral:rRNA from 1 species